UGGAUUAAACUGCCCGGAAAUUAUUGAGGU
rnacentral:piRNA from 1 species